ACCAAGUUUAGACAACACCAUACACUUCUCGUUUUCAGAAAGGAGAAACAAGGGAAAAGCAAUAAUAAGGGCGGAAAUAAGUCAGGAAAAGGGCAUAAAUAAGUCGUGAUUUGCAAUAGGCCACGGGCAUGGUAGACAGCAAACAUAAGGAGUUUUCAGGGAGCAUAACCAGAAGUAAAUGCAAAGUAAAUUUAGUGAAA
rnacentral:lncRNA from 1 species